AAUAAACACCGUCGGAUACAGUUGAAGGGGAAGGGUUCUUCAAACACUUGGGUUUCUUAAGGAUAAAAAAACACGCAGUAUCUAAGAAGAGAGGGAGAAGAAAGACGUAUACAGGUGAAGGGGAAAGGGUUCUUCAAACACUGGUCUUCAAUCAAUUGAAUCGGUGGAGAUCGAGACGCAUGACAGUCAAUUGAUGCAGUCCGUUUCCUUCCUCAACAAAGCAAUCACGCUUUCCAUUGAAUCAAUUUGUAAUCUGCUUCGACUUGGACUUGGCUUCAAUUUCUGAUUCCAUCCGCUCAAUUGAAUCAAUUUUGAGGUUGUCCAAGAUUGGUGAAUCUCCUGCUUAUGCGUGUGAAGGCCUCUCUUUUUUUCUGCACAGAAGAUGUAAUGAGAAAGCAGAAUUGGUUCAAAAAAGAUAAAGUCAAAGCAUUAUAAUAAGGGACUUUGGUAUUGAUUCACGAUGAGCUCGGGCAUGCAAGAACCCACCCACUGGGCUAGCCAUCAGCUCAGAUUGGAGCUAGCACCCAGGAGGAGAGAGUUGGAUGUAACAUGGAGAACACUAGAUUAUUUCCUAUAAAUGCAACACUUGAAUUAUUGCUAAAUCUCAAGCAGCAAGGGUUGAAAUUCUUUACACUCAAUGAAUACAGCAUCCAAUUUGUGUUUUAUUUCAUCUAUAUGAACUUGCAAAUUUCAUUGGCUUUUCUAGUAAGCUUCAAUUUUCGCAAAUGUGAAGACUGCUACUUGGUUUGUUUAGUUAUGAAAUUAACAAAAACGUUUAAUUUUCGAUUCUUUUUUGAGAUUUUACCUAGGGAUGUGAGAAUUUAACAAUAACAAUGACACUGACACUGACACUGACACAAGGUUUGGAUUGCCAUCUUUCCCUUAAAAUGCUGUAGUUUUUGUUAUUGUUCAUAGCAUGCUUUUCAAGGAUUUAUUAAUGAGAUUUAGCAGUUGUGCACAUGGUAUCCUCUCUUUAUGUUUCACGUUCAUCUAUUACCUUUCUUUAUAAAGGUGUGUGGUAUAACUCUUUCUCUAUUUGCCAGAUUUUUUUUUAUUAUAAUUUCUUACCUGUCUAGCCUAUUCCAUGCUGGUUCAUAAUUUCUUAUCUUUCUAGCUUUUAUGGGGCCGUUGAAUUGUCUUUUUAAUUUUGAAAAUGUUUUGUUGAUGUUUUAAAAUUUCUUGAUCAUUUCUUAAUACCUUAAGAAAUAUUUUUCUCCAUGAGUCAUCGGUUCUUAUA